ACCUUGUUGAAGAAUUAUCGACCCAUCUCGCUGCUGAGCCAUGUCUAUAAGUUGUUCUCGAAAGUCAUCACGAAUCGUCUCGCUCGUAGGUUCGAUGUCUUCC